rnacentral:snoRNA from 1 species
CUGGAGGUUUAAGAAAGUGUGGCAAGUGAAGUGUGUGUUGCCUUCACUGAUACCCACCUCCUAUAGUAAGAAGCAGAGAGAACAUCACUGGUCUACAGAGACAGGCCUGAGAUCACUGCAUCUGCUGACAUUC